rnacentral:rRNA from 1 species
UACGUAGGGUGCGAGCGUUGUCCGGAAUUAUUGGGCGUAAAGAGCUUGUAGGCGGUUUGUCGCGUCUGCCGUGAAAAUCCGAGGCUCAACCUCGGACUUGCGGUGGGUACGGGCAGACUAGAGUGUGGUAGGGGAGACUGGAAUUCCUGGUGUAGCGGUGAAAUGCGCAGAUAUCAGGAGGAACACCGAUGGCGAAGGCAGGUCUCUGGGCCACUACUGACGCUGAGAAGCGAAAGCAUGGGGGAGCGAACAGG